rnacentral:lncRNA from 1 species
CAUUUCAUCAUGUCAAUCGGGAUUAGCUCCAAGAAGCUUGAACAUCAUCUAGGACACUUUGUGGGUUCUAUUUAGAUGAUCAGUCAACACAAGGGAAAGACUUGAGUUACUUCCAACAGGGGUUUAUUCGUCAGUCAAAACGUUAAUCUUGAAGUAGCAAAGGUUUGUUCAUGAGCUGUCAUGCUCGCUAGGCGAAGCCCACGUGUUAUGCAAAAAAAAAAAAACAAAAAAAAAGACGGUAAACGAAAAAAAAAAUCAAAUAAAUAAAUAAAUAAAAGAAAAAUCUCAUACUUGGACCUCUCUCAUUUAAGCUCACAAAGCCAUGAAAAUCAGGUUAUAAAAGAGGGAGAACAGACAGAAAAAGGAAGGGAAGCAAAACACUCUGAGGUUUACUUGGAACAAAAUCCUGGACAAAACCUGGAGAGAAACCUAGAUAGAGAGAGUGAGAAUUAAUCUGC